AGGAGCUGAAACAGGAAGACCAGUAGAAGGUUCCUGAAGUAUAAUCCUGACGAGAAAAGUCGGCUUGAACAAGAGUGGUAGUAGAAAUUAAAGUGGUAAGAAGUGAUGCACACCCGAGCUAUUCCUCAGAUCUCUGCAAGUGGCCAUGAGUAAUGUCAUCUUGUUUUCCCACACUGAGCAACAGAGCAUUAACUGACUGGGAGCCCUGACUGAUCCA